AUAUCUCAAGAAACCAUUUCUAGUUGCUUUCAACUUGUUUUGGAUUCAACUCGUGAUCUUAAUGAUGAAGGACGCCACAACCCAUUAGCAGUCAUCUGAGCCGUCCAGAUCUCUUGAGAGCCUCUUUCAGCAGUGACCUCCUCCCAGGACUCCACUGUGCACAACUGUCAUACAGCUCAACACUGUUGUCCCUGGAUUACCUCGCUGCUUUGAUCUGUCACUGAAGUUGCUGUUUGUUGGCUAAUUCUCUGGUGGGUGGUUCAGAUACAAGGCCCCGAAACCUCAAGAAGGCAAGAGGUCAAAGGAUGCAACAGAGGUGAAGGAAAAGAGUCGUGGCAAAUAAACCUUACUAUGACCUCCAGAAGUCAACAAGCUCUGUUUUGAUGUUAGAAGGGAGAUGAAAAUAGAAUAUAUAUAUAAAAGAAGAAACAAAUCCAAAGAUUACUGAAAUUCAACAGUGCUUCAGAUGAUCACUCUUCAGUGAAGAAAAGGACUUUUCACUCUCGACAUAGGGCAAUGCCUUUGAAAUCGAUGAGCUUAAAUGAAGCAUAGACUGGGGACAUCUACCGUUCUCAUCACAGCUGCUGCCACAUCAUGGAGAGUAUUGCUAACACAAUGGAAGAGGAAUUAAGCUGCCCAUCUGUGCAAAGUAGGCUGUUUUGUCUGCUCACGGUUGAUUAGUGGGAGCAAAUGGACUUUUGCUAAUGUUGGGGGCACAGUUCUGGAAGAUGGAAGACCCACAUUCGAGUCCCUCCUCUUGCUGAUUAAGACCAUCACACCUUGGACGACCCGCCUUUACCGAAGAUCAGCAGCCCCGACACCAAGACAUCGCUGGAUGAGAGGUAGCCGUGGAAGGAAAUGGCUGCCCCAGUUAGAAGCUGAGAAUGAAAUGACUCCUUUUCGGCUGCAGCAUUAGAGGGGCCUUCAGUAGACCAUGUGCUACAUGAGCACUCAUCUCAGCCUUGGGAACACUCCUGGGAUGCACUUUUUUUUUCUCUAUCCAACCUCCAGGUGUUUGAGCUAGUUAGGAACCAAAACACAUGCUUCCUACAGUGAGAAAAAUCAGAGUCUAUAUGAAAGCAAUGAACACUACCUCUGCAAGUAAAAUAAACAAGAACAGAGUAACAUUUGGAAGACUGGCCAUCUUGGCCCACGCAGCUCUUGUCCAGAUAGCAGCCACCCUUCCCUCCUGUUCCUGACUAUACUAGUACAACUUGGAAUCACCAAAUUUAAGCACGGCAGAGCUUUGUUUUACAAUUACAGCAGUAAACUAGGUGUUUUUCUCCUUGUCAAACCUUCACCAACAGUUGAACGUUUAUUCAAGUCACAGUUGUUGCUGAAGUUCAGUGUCUCUGUGGGUAAAGAGAUAUUAAUGGAAAUGGGGAAAUACUGGGGCAGUGCACAAAUUGCUCUAGAAAAACCUGUGAAAGGGAAGACUACCUGUUUGUUUCUGUCUACUGCUUUGCCCUCGUUCCCAAGUCCUGGGAAAAAAAUCUCGGAAAACAAUUUAACAAUGUCUUAGGAAUAAAAUAUACAUCAGGAAUUCAUCUGGUGAAAACUGUGGUAUGUACAUUAAAAUAUGCAGAACUAUGAGAGUGAAUGAGAGUGAAUCUACUGCAGGCAUGUGUGUACAUACUCAGUUUUUUGAUUAGUGAUCAGGUAAUUGAACUAGAUGAUCUUCGAUGGUCCCAUCCAACUAUGCUAUACUAUACUAUUCUAUACUAUGCUAUUCAUGAAAGACACAGUAGUUUUGGUUACAGAAUUAUCUUUAAGAAAUAUACAGAUCUGAUAAUUGUAUAAUAAGUGAAAGUACCAGGGACAAUAUAAGACUGAUUUUAGGUUACCAGCAAUACAACUUCACUUAUUUGUGAUGCUCCAUGACAGCUAACUGCAAUUUAAGUGGCUCCUAAACAGUAUAAUGAUCUUCUCUAGUUGGUCUGCCUUGAAUAAGUUAUUUGGUUAGUUGUUUUAAGUUGAAAGAUGAAAAUGACUCUUCAUUUGAAUUCUGAGAACCCUAAUUUAUUUGAACUUUGAUGCCUUCUGUUUUUAUGUGUUUAUUUCCAACGCAAUAUGACUGUGUUCAUUAACCAAAAAUAUCUGCCUCUCUGCUAGCUGUUCAGCUGGCCUUUUCAAACAUAUGGCUGUUGUUUUAGCUUGUUAUGAUGUGGCCUGUCUUGUCUUUGGCUGGUGUCAUUACAGGUGAUUUUCAUUGUGGAGUGUCGUUGGGAUGGUAACAUGAAUGGGUAGGGUUUUAACUUGCAGUGUCAGUUAGAAGGGACUCUUUCAUUAAGUCAUAUUUUAGUGGCGUUGAUAAUUAUGCUUUUCUGGAUAUCCCUAAACAAGGUGCAAGUAAAGUGAACUCAUCAGAACAGCUAAGACUUGUUUACCUCUGGAAGAGGUGAAGAGAAACUGAACCAAUACGCAGCAUCGUUCGCUGUGAAGAAUUCUCACAAAAGUCAGUAGGAGUUUUGAAUAAACAUUAACAGCAGGGUAGUGUCCUUAGAGGUUAUUUCUGUUUCAGAUGAAUCUUUCUGUGCAGCAUUACCACCUGCGCUGUCCCUUGUUUGAUAAAUUAAAAAGAAGCAUCGCAAAUAUUUUAAUAAAAAUCAUAGAAUGCUGCCAAUGUUUUAAAGAACGAGGCAGCGCUACAGAUAUUUUAAAUUCCGAAUACUGGAUGACUUCAAACUAUUUCUGACUCUGGGCUUGUUGAGCAGCAUGAUCCAUCCACCUAAACAAAAUCAAUAAAUGAAAAAUAGAGUGAAAUAACCUUUCUAUCAACAACACAAACACCAAAGUCUGUACUGUGUUUUCUGGAGAAAGGUUCAGAGGGCAAGCCAUAUGUUUGAAUGUUCAUUCUUCCCUUGCUGAUCUGCAGAAAAGUGCUCAAGUUGAGCAAGAAUGGAAAGGAAGUAUAAUGAGCGUAAUGUUUUUCAGUGCUACCUGUCUUAACUUGCUGCAUUUCCUUGUAAUAAUAUUACAAUCUGCUUAAUAGGUACAACUCAGUCUUCUAUUCAGUGAUAAAGAGGCUUGGUUCUCAGUCAUUCAUACUUUCUAAACAUGUUACUCACUAAACAAUUUUGUGUAAUUUACUAUUAUAGCAGAAAAAUAGUUCUGCAAUUUUUUUUUUCUAGCAAGGAUAUACCAAUCAUAUUUUUGUCUUUAAGAUGUGUAUCCCAUAGUGGAUAACACAUUCUCUGCUGCUGAAUUAUAAUUGAAAGCUCAGGUCAAAUCAUAGGAAAUACGUCAGAAACUCUUUUCUAACUCUGCCUUGUGUGUUGUCUUGUUUUUGGAAUGUCAUUCCUCAUAUGUUCUCAUUCAUUUUUCUUGUCUUUUCUUGUUACAGGUAUGUGUUUCAGGGCAUGUGUGUUUGUCCUUCCUGUAGAAUCAUACCAAAUGUUUCCCAAAACUGUUGAUAUUUGUUUUCUUGGAACAGUUUGUCUUUGUUUAGUGGACUAUUCCCUCUGUUACCUAAACAAUGCCCAAGAACUGUUGAAUUUACUGUUUUAUGAUGGCUUUUCUUCGUGUUGCAAUCCCCUCCUUCAGAAUAAGACAGCAAGAUGUCUCAGUUUCACGUGUUGUUGUGCCCCCAGCUGGACACCAUUUAGAGACUGCUCAUUUAUUAUUUCUGUUGUUCUAAUAUGGAAGAAGCUUAAAUAAGAAAGUGUUUUUUUAUUUUAUUUUAUUUUUUUAAAGCAACACUGUUUACUUUCUGUCUAUCCUUAGUCAUGUCUAUCCUUAGUCGUGUUUUCCUUUGGAAAAAGAGAAAUCAAGUCAGUGCUGCAGCAGAAUCAACAGACUAUCCACGGUGAGCAUCACUGUGUGCACCACAGGAUAUUAGAGUAGUUAAUAAAUAUGUGCAUUAUUAAAAUAGCUAUAACUAUUGUAGCUGCUGCAAAUUGCAUCUGAUAGUUUGCUCUAUUGAUUGGGGAAAAAAAUGAAUUUCCAAUUUGACAGAACUUCAUUUUCCCAUCUCUUUCAUUUCACUGAAUGGUAGAUCCUUCAUUUAAGGAAGCUUAAAAACAAUAUCUGUGAUUCUUACUACCAUCAUAUGGAUAGUUAUCUAAGGACAGUGAAUUCCAACAACAAACUAAUGUUUCAUGGAUUACCAAACAGCAAACAAGUUGACGAUGAUUCUCUGCUAACGUAUUUGAAUUUUCACUGCAGCCAAUGAAUACUGAUGCACAAUGUAGAGUGCUCAGAAACUUUUUUUUUACAGCUUGAUAUUAAGUUUUCUGUGCCCUUAGGAACGUUUGUGUUUGAUGUAAGUGCUAGAAGUCUUUGAUUAUUUUCAAAAUAGGAACUGGAAAUAUUUUCCAAUUAAGAAAUGUGUCACAGUUUGGAAUUCUUUGAUUAGAAUACUUCACUUGACAAUGAACAAGGUGGUGGCUUCUGGCUUGCAGAGGAAGAUGAUGUUUUGCUGUAAAAAGGUAACCGUGGAGAUGUCAGUAGAUGUUACUUGUUGAACAUGAAUAUGCAAAUGCAGAGUUCAAAAACAAAAGAGAUAUUGUGCCUUGGGAAUAUUUCCUUUGUUGUUUCCUUUCCUCUUUUCUUCUGGGGAGAGAGAGUUGUUAGGAGACUAAGAAUGUUAAUUACUAUGAUAAGCGUAUAAAAACAUUCUGAGUAAAGCCUAUUGUAUGAGGGGUACUUUCUUGAGUUUAUUAGCUGGUGAACAUUCUGCUGUUUAACAAAAAUUCUAUUCAAAUGUUGAAGAGAUGAGAAUUAGGGUUUUUUUUUUUUGCUGCUGUUUUAGGACUUUCUUUUCCACUUACUGUUGUCAAGGAGAGAAUGAAGCAAAAGCAAAAUAGUCUACGUAAUGAAGUGACGAAAAAGAAAAUGUAAUAUAUAACUUGGUGAAUUUUCCUUGAUAAUUCUAUAAGAGGAGAAGAAUUAGGUGAUAAAUUAACUGUAAGAAAGAGUGGUAUCUUGCUUCAUGGUGAGUCACAAGGAAAUCACAAAGGGAUUCAGUGUAAAAUAAUUUUCAUGGGGAAAUAUUAGUAGAAGCACAAAUUGAUUACAUAGAAAAUCCAUUGUCAUUUAGCACUUAGUUUACAUUUACUGGUAAAAUCUGUUUUACAGCAGAGAGACAUGCUCAUGUACUUGGAAUACUCUGUUUCCUAGAAUAGGAAAGCCCCCUGGUUGAAUAGCCAAAGUGGAGCCUCUGAGUCAAAAACCAUUUAUUCUGCUGCACGCCUUGUAAGGUUGAUGGCUUUUGUUCAUUUGGGUUGCUUCAUUUGUUUUGUUGUGUUUUGUUUUCCAUAGUUUUUUUUCCCUUAUGUUUUCAAAUUCAACUAUUCAUUCUCUGCCAAAAAAAUUAAACUGUAACAUAACCAACUCUUUAAAAAAAUUAGGAGCUCAGGCAAAACUAUCAGUGUGGUGACUGUACUCAAUCCCAGCCGGUCUAGGUCUGCCUAGAGGUAGCUAGUGAGAAUUUCCCUGACAUGUACACUAACUAGCAAACAUUUUCCUUUCAAUUUUAUCUCUCUGCCCACUAUACACCUCCAGCCUUAUCCUAUUUGUCACACAACAUUUGCUAGAGAUAAAUACAGUGCAGGUAGACCUUGCAUUUGCUUUUGAUGAUACCUUUCAGAACUGACCUUCAGUUCUCCUGUAAUCUCAUUGCAGGGUCUUAUUUGGGCAGAAGUUACCAAACUGUACUAAAUUAUCCUGAGCUGUGGCGGUCUGGAGAUAACAACAAACUAAAUGAUGAACAAAAGGAACGCCAGCGUGAUGUUGGAGCCUUUUGGUGCUUAUGCUCCAUAUGUAUUAACAUUCUAGAUCAUUCUUUGGAUCUGAUGCAGUAGGCAUUUUCUGAGCACUGAUAAGGCAAACAAAAAACAGCAGGGAAAAUUGUGCUGCCUUCUUGGUGUAUAAAAACAAUAAUCUGGGGUAUAGACAAUAUUUAAUAUUUUUUUGUAUUUGAUUUCAAGACCUGCAUUAAACAUGCACUCUGCCCACAGGAGGAUUUUAGUCGUUUGAUUUUGAGUAUUCACUAGCAAAUCUCUCUCAGUCAUUCCUGUUGAAAUUAUGGCACUUAACAUGUUAAUGUAUUCCUUUUAAAAGAGUCUAUUCCAGAUUUCCCAAAUUGAUACUUUAUAAUCAGAGUAAUAAUUAUUAUUCUGAAUCCAGAGAUACUUCAUUUCAGUUAUAAUGUGCAACCUGAGAUAACUUCAGCUGGAAAACGACAAGAGAGACAGCCUGAGAAAAAGUCUUUACUGCUGUGAAAUCACCAAAUGAAAUUGGGUUUGGAUUUAACAUUUGUAACUUUUAGAGAUUUCAAGAGAAAGAGGUACUCAUGCAUACAUGAAGUUCAUCAGUGAAAAAUUCAUUGUCAUGCACAGUAUCAGCUGAUUAGCAAAACCUUCCUUAAUUUCCUGGCGCUAUAUGGUCUGGUGAUGUUAUACAGCACUAGUCAGGAUCUUGGAUUCUCAAGGCUGUUUGUUCAAACACGAGGAAUUCAGUUUACCUACCUUCUUGUUAAUGAGAUUAGAUUGCUUCCUUUCAUUUUCACCAUUAAUCAGUCUUGAUUUCUUCAUGGCCAACUUGCCAUGUGGCAGCUUUCAGUGCUGGUAAACAAAGUAACAAAUGAAAUAAAUAAUGUAAUCCGUAGGCUGCUGCUCUAUAUUAUUUCAGUAUCCCCUUGGAUAAGCCUUCAGUCUCAUUAACAGACUUUGCAGAGCUGCUAGACCCUUUAAAUUCAAUGCAGAACACUCAUCCCUGUUCAUCUGGAAGAACAGUGCCUGUUUUAGUUAUUUUGCCUGAUAACGUGCGUCAGUUGAUGGUUUUCUUUAGCUUUCAAAGUUUACAUAUUACAUACAUUACAUAUUACAUACUUUACACUUACGUUUGAUUUGCUGGGACAUAUCCACGUUCAGGAGCUUGUGGAUUAAAUACAAAUAGUGUGUGCCUGGUUGCUACUCCAUUCGCAGUGAAUUAAUAGCUACGGGUGAAUUACAGCAGUUGAGCCCUGGAAAGGUAACAUAAUAUUUCACAGACUUUUCCCCAUGGGUCCUCAAGCUUUUCAGAUGAAUUGGGAAACAGAUGCCAUUAAUUUUUUUCCAAAUUGUGUAAGCAGAUCUCACUGUGUUCCUACUGCAAUCCAGAAAGUGGGCUUCAAGUCAGCAAAGUCUUAAGUAAAAUGCAUCUAUCUAAUUGUAUAACUGCCUGCAUGCAGCUGAUUGAUUGAUUGGAAAUUCAGAUGUAUGUCAGAAAAAUAUCUGACUAAAUAGGCAAGAAGGAAAAUGGUGCAUUCUUCCUGCUUUCUUCUAAGAAGAUAAGUUAGUUUAAAGCCACUUUGUAGUUGUAGCUAUACUUUCAAGGGAACCAUUCAAAAUGCAUUAAACUUGUACUUAGGUGAUGUUAGCCUGUGGGUAUUAAUCCAACUGAGCAUCUGCCCAGAGAAGUGGACAGAUCGCUGGUGAUCCACAACCUCUGAGGAUCAAAGCUUAGUGAUGGUAAAUAUUUAAGCAGGGGUUAUAUUAAUGCAGUCAUUUCUACUUAGUGUAGUAGCAAUGGGCUCUAAUGAGUAAUUAAUGCCUUCUAGGAACGGUGCUACAUUUGAAGCGGUAGGAAAUGGAUAAAUAUUUGCUGGAGCAGGGAAAUGCAUGCAGUCUGACACUUAGGGUGUUUUUCCAUUGAAGAACUGAAUUCCACUGAAUAUUGGUGAAUUCCAGAGAGGAAAGGAAGAGAAAAUAUAUGUAUACCUCAGACUAGAGUGCUGGCAUCCAUACAGAGCCUGUAUUUCCCACAGACUUGUAGUGCAGACCAAUUUUCACUGGCUGGUUCAAACAGCAUUACUUGCCUAUGGGCUCCUUUUAAUGCUAGGGAGAGAUGCGCUCACUCUCAAUCCUGUAAUGCCAGAGACUGUGUCUGGCCUGCAGAGCAUUUGAAUUCUAGGAUGCACUUUGUGGUCUUAGAGCUCAGUGUUUUUUUGGUUUUCUUUCCCAGAAAUGAGCUCCUGGGCUUAUUCUGACAUGAGUUAUCACUCAGAGGUCUGUGGGAAUGCCUUAGGACCCCGCAGCUCAGGUGUAGCUGGCAGCCCAGCAGAUCUCUGCAGGGCUGUCAUCGUAGCUUUCCUCUUGGCAGCCACAUAAUCUGUACCACACUGCACAGAUUUGUGCCUUUCAUGUCACAUAGUCAUGUGUCCUCUGAGUGCUACUGAUGCAGGAACACAAGUGCCCGGCCACUGUACACUGCUGCUACAUGUGAAUCUCUCUGCCAGAUUAGGUUUAAAAUAUUAAUCUACAGCAUUGUGAUAGGCUUCCUAGGCAAUAGCCACAGCUUGCAGGGCUUAUUUGGGAUAUUUUCUUCCAUAGCUGGCAUCUUCAGAGACUGGAGAGAAAAAUAUCUUCAAUCAGAGUCUCUUCUCUCCCUUUCUUUCUCUCUCCUUUUCUUUUCUUUCUUUCUUUCUUUCUUUUUUUUUUUUCCCAGCUCUUUCGUGGUUACCAAUGCUGUCCUGGCUGACGUUCUUGGAAGAUUAUGGCACACUGAUCCAGGAUUUGUAAGUGAUGUGCUCCAACCUCUAUAGAAAUACCUCUUCCAGUUUGUAGGGGCUGCUGUUUUAGGAUGUUACGUUACAGCUUUGGAAGAACUUCAUGAUCAGAAAUAUAGAAAACUAACAUUAAUGCUUCAAAAGAUCACCUGAAGGCACUGUAAGGAGUAGUUUCAGUAACCUCAAACAUGAUGGUUUUGGCAAAAAACAAGCAAACAAAAAACAGUAUUCCUGAUGUGUUUUUUGCUUCAGUUGCAAAACUUCUUCAGUUAAUCAGUCAUAUAUUCAUUCUGACUUUUUCUUUUCUUCACUGUUGUUAGAAGCAAAUAAGCUGACCAACUGGAAAUCUCUUCUAUAAUCUAGUCAUGGUCACUAGACUGAAACAUAAUCUUUGAAAAUGGUUUGCUAACUUUAGCUUAAUUUUUAUUUUUAUUUUAUUUUUUUUUAUUUUUUUUACAAUUUUUUUUUUACAGUCAGCUUGGGAAUGAGUGGUACAGGCCUGCUCCAUGCCCACCAAAGCCAAUGGAAAGCCUCUAGACUUUAUGAAGAAGCUUAAGUUCAGUCCACUAGCCAGCAGUAAAUUUGACACGCAAAUGCGAUAUAUGCUAUUAAGUGAUUUAUAGCAGAAUUUGAGACUGCUGGUAUGUGUGCUAGCAAACAAACCAGAGAGGGAACUAGUCUUCAGCUUGAUAUUUCCAUUCAACUUCCCAGAGCGCUGUAUAAUUAACAGAAUUUGCCUCCUCUUUUUUAAAUGAAAUUCUUUUCAAAUAAGGUCAAAACAAAUGAAUAUGGAAAUAAAUGAGCUCUUUAAUCAUGGAGAACACCAUGGCUUUUGUAUGAAAUACCUCGGUACAUUUGAAUUCAUUAUGUUCAAUUAUAAGACAGAUGGUUUUGCACUUAGUGUCACUCCUAAAGUCAGCACUCACAAAUAAGUGAGUUGGGGCAUGAAGUACCUGAGUGCACCAGCCAUGCUCCCCUCUGUGCCAAGAAAAGAAUUACCCCUGCAAGGCAAGUUUUGACCUGCAGGGCACAAUGGAGACAGAAAAGAUCAUUUAGACAAUCACUAUAGAGUAGCUGAUGAAAUGUAAGUUCUGGCGACAUUAUAAAACAGGCAGCUUCACAGGAAAUUUUCUCGUUUGCUUUCUGUAAAUCUCACCGGGUUGUCUCCUACCACCGUGUUUCAAAUAUCACCGGCAUAUAAUAACAGAUUCAGUGCUUUCAAGAGUAAAGUGGCUCUCCAUCACAGGAAUGAUGCACAAGCAGUGAGCAAAGGCAGAUAGUGCAAAGGUUUCCUAGCUCUUAACGCCUCCACUAAGGUCCCCUUUGAAGAGAACUCCAGUAUAUGAGGAGGGAAGGAGCAAGGAGCAGGCUGCAAGGAGAGCUUCAGGACAUGUCUGACCUACAGAGCAGACAGUGCACCCACUGACUGGUCACAUCAGCUCUUUCCAUUUCCUUACUAAUGCCCUGGCACUCUAUGAAAAUGAAUGGAGCGCAGACACAGAACCCAUCCAGAUUUACUUCUGUUUUUCUUUUUAUUAGCAAUUCUGUUUGUUUUUUUUUUCCUCAUAUUUUUAUUUGUUUCUUCUUGCUAUCCUGUCUUGUGCAUUUUUAAGCUAUCCUAUAUUUCUUUGCUUUAUGCUUUAUUUUCGGAUUCCACAAACAAUGCUCCAUAGUUAAAACAAACGUCACUUUGCUGAACACUCUGCUUCAAAAAGAUUUCUAGGAAGAACUUCUCAGUGCUUGCAGUCCUGUGUGUUUAGUUGGGGCUCAAAGAUGUGAAAUACAGGCUUUCUCCAAGCUGUUUUGAUUUUUCAGUAGACCUGGUAUACAUCCUGUUAAAAAGAUAUAUUUGGGUGAAAAAAAAAAAAAGGUGAAAGAAGCAUGAGGUACAGAACUUACCUCACUGAGUUGGCAAUGUGUGAAGGGCAGAGUUUACUCCAGGUAGCAAAGAGUGUUUUACAGUUGCAUGCAGCCAACAUUACAACUGAACCAGUAGUUCUUCCAGUGCUUUUAUAAUUGUCCUUGUGCUUGCUUUUCAUAGCACCACAUGGAUCCCUGGGGCUUCUGCCAAGAAUCUGGGGUCUUGUUUAAGUGCAAUGUGUAUUCUCAGUUGAGGUUAGCUUACAGUGCAUCUUAUGUAAUUAUAAGCCAAAUACUUUUAUUUUUAUUUUUUUAUUGUUUAGAGAUGCUCCGGGCCAAGCAGCGUGUCCUUGUGAAAAUUUAGCAGCUACCAAAGCAAUGACUAAAAUGACUGCUUUGCAUAACGUCAGCAGUCAAAAGCCUUAAAAAGCUAAAUAAUACAAAACAUUAGUGGCUGCCCUUUCUCAUGCGUCUCAGCUACUUUAGCAGAUGUAAUAUUAUUAGCUUCUUCUGUUCACACUAAAUUAGAUAUGCAAUCAAGUAGGGGUAAGAGACAGAUUUACAGCAGAUGAAAAUGGCCUGUGAAAGCUUAUUCACAACAGCAAUUAGCAAUUGCUGAAACCUGAGGCAAACGAAGUGCCUUCUAAACAGGAAGAACUGCAGUUCUAGAACUGAAUUUGGAGCAGGUGGUUGGUGGCAACGUCUGGAACAGCUCACAGCCAAAUGACUGGAAAGGAGUUUUCCUGAUAUUUCAAGUGGUGGGAAUCUGUGCUCCAUAAAGGAUUUAUAACUGGCAGGUUUUAGAAAUAGUUGAGUGCAAACUGGUUCAGCACGGCAAGACCUUCUCUAUGCAACAGUUCUAGCUGGCUGCAAACCAUUUAAAUCAGUUAUGUGACUGCCCUCUCUGGCAAUAGUGUUUUGUUUUUGUUUUUUCCCUUGGUUUGGCAGACAUCUCUGAUUCAACCAGACUUUGUUUUGUUGAUGCUCUGGGUUUGCUAACUUAGUUCCAACUGGUUAAACCUGUGUCAUCAAGUUUAUUGAGACUGAUAAGAAUAAUGUUUGGUCUACAGAAGUUUGAAUUAGAGGAUGGUGAUGAGAAUCUCUCUGAACUCCCAAGAUUUGUUCAGAAAUCUUGGGCUGUCUUAUGGGUUAUCUUUGAAUAAGUCUUAAAGAAUUCCAAAAACGUGGCAUCCUUUCCCCAUAGACCAAUUAAAUAAAUAAAAUAGAAAUAACUCUGGCAAGUUAAUUUUUAACCAGGAAUGUUUUCUUUCCCAUUAUAGUUAUUCCAUUAUUUUAUUAUGUUUUUUGCAUUAUAAUUACUAAAUCACUUCACAAAAUGAAAAAUUGAGGGCUAGAUUCUUACUUGACAUAAAAAAAAAAUCAGUCUCAAGCUAUGAAGAAGGCUGAAAUCAAGGAGACCAUAGUGACUUACAAUAAAUAUUGAGGUAUUUUUGCCUCUUAAAAUGAUUUGUUACAGAUCAUGUGGACUGAUUGUCUUCUCUCAGUACUAUUUAAAACAAAAAUGCAAAAAUGGUAAGUCGUUGCACUAUGCUUUCUGUUUUGCCUCUUGUUAUUUUGGAGACAAAUUGAAGGAGCAGUAGACUGAUGUGAUAAAUCAGUCCAUUUACAUUUGGCAGAAUAAAAUUAGCGUUGCCGUUACCUCAUAAUGGGGCAUGGCUAUGAGUAUGGAAUUGAUUUCAGAGUAAAACUGAUCCAUUACAAUUUUGUUAAUAUUGAGUUUUAAAGAAAAUGAUGAAUUGCUGAUCAAUGCAGUUAAAGAAGCAACUUAGAAAAAACCCCACCAUUAUUCACUUUUUAAAUUUUGCCUUAGUCUUCCAUAUUAAGAAGUUACUUUAAAUGAUAUUACAAUUACACUAUGGACACUUCUGUAAUUCAGGAGAUAUUAUUUGAUGAAGAAAACAUGAAGUGUUUCACUCAUUUAUAGUCACUGUAAAUGUCAGCCAUUUUUGAUGCACUGUGCGUUUGCUUUGAAAAGAUGAACUGACACUGUUGGGAUGUUUCAUAUCAAGAACAAAAUAAUCUAUGCAAGGAAUGAAAUCUUCAUUAAUUCCUUCUUUGUACAGAAUAUGUAUAUAUUCUGAAUAUAUAUAUUUUUACUCUAUUAGGAAAAUAAUAGUAUACUUCUUAUUCUACCUUAUCUACAGAGCUUAGGUUUAUGAAUCUAUUGCAAACCCUAAGGAAAUUUUAGCCAUGAAUUUUGCUUUUUCCUACUUCCAACCUCUCUUCUGGUAGAGAAAUAUCUGUGAUGACAGAAGUAGAAAAAAGUAUUAAAUUGGACUCCCCCUGCCCAUAGACUGGGAUGACUGAGACAUCUCUUGUCCCGUGUAUAACAUCCUUCUCACAAAUCUGCACUAUCUAGAAGAGAAAUGGCAAUCUAAUAAUGCAGUGAUUGUUCAUUUUGGUGACCAGCAUCCUUCUUUUGUAGCAAAAGAGGACAGAGGUCGCCUCUAUUGGUCAGGAUUUUCAACAGCAAGUAAAUAUUUGUUAAUCAUUACCUUCCACACAACUUUAUUUCAGCGGUACUUUUCACAACUCUUGUAAUGAAAGUAAAAAAUAAUAAUAAAAAAUAUUGCAGCUUGCUAAAUUUACCGUGAAUUGAAAUCAAUUUCUAAAUCAAACUAAAUUUAUUAAGAGAGAACUUUUGAGAAGUGCACAUAAUCUUCCUUUUCACCUAGGAUAUUCUCUUUAACAUGGAUAGAAUAAUAAUUAUUAAUCAUGUCUCCAGUGAAUCCCCAGAAUGAAACACUGCUCCAAAACGAACACAAUGUGUUCAGUCUCUUGGAAGAAAUGAGGAAUAGGACUAAACAAGCUUUUAGUUCAUGCUGUGCAGUUUCAUUAAUGUAAGUGGGAGUCUCAGAGAUGUUCACUGACAACUGUUGGAGUGUGCUCUUGGGAAAUACUGGCACUCCUCAGAGAAGAGACGUGAAAAUCCUCUGCUUGAGCAAUUUUCCACAAGCACUGGGUUAUUCCACAAGCAUUCUUCUGAAACGAGAUGGGGCAUUCAACACACGUGAAAGUAGACAUACCACCAUCCUUUGUCAAAUAUUCUUGAACUUAAUCCAGCAAGCAGGCUUACCAGAAUAAGGUACUGCUUGGUCUUAGUAUCAUGGAAACAUUUUUGUCAUUCUGAUCUGCAAUGACACGGGAAAAAGUCCACUGCUGCUAAGGAGCACGGCUGUUUCACUGUGAAGAACCUUGGCAUUUAACCACUUUGAUGUGCUUUCAACCAUUUUGUGCAGAUAUAUUUUUCCCUGUAAUUACACUAUAGUUUUUUCCUCUUCAGAUGUUUGUCAGUGGAUUUUAAUGAUUUGCUUUGUGGAUUUAUGGAUCUUCAAAAUAGCCAAGUGGUAAUUUCUGCUCUGUAUAUAUGCUCUCCUUCAGUUUAUGCCACUGUAUGUUUGAAUAAACGGUAUUAGGCUCCUUUAGAAUUGCAGUCAUUUAAGUUUGAUGUUGGUAUUUCUAGUCAGAAAGAUAUAAACAAUAUACAUAUACUUACAAAUAUUCUUACAAGCUUCUUAGUAGACAGUAGAAAAACAAUGCUUCUGUAUUGCUUCAGUACGCAUGUGUAGCGGAGAUCUGGAUUUAUGCAUUCUUGGGGUCAUACAGGAGCAUUUGCUAAUGGGAAAUUCUCAUCACUGCUUUUGUAGAUCUGCUGUUUUUUCCAGUCUUUGAAGUACUGAAGGCAUCCUGAUCCCUACAUUUAUCUCGGACAAAAAUAAAAGUCUGAGUGUCCCUCUGAACUACCAGCUCUGGUGAAGCACUGCAGGUGACAGUGAGUUGAUAAUGGUCCCAGAAUUGGGAUUUGCAAUUUCCACAUUACUUGGCCAGUCUCUCACUUCAUAACUUGUCCUAUAAUAGGACUCUCGCUUGGUCUUCUCAGCAGGGCUAAUGUCAGGCAACUGGUGUAUUUGUAUAACAAUCCAUCCCAUCCCAUCCGUUUAGUCAGACAACUUAAGAAGAGUGGAUCAAAAUGGCCACUGAACCACAAGGGAUGACCACGCAGCAUUUUUCAAGGGAAGUUGUUUUUUCUCUAUCAGAAAUGAAUGGGCCAGAUGGAACAGUAUAUCAAAUAAUAAUUUCUUAAUCUAUACAAAAAAGGGUUUACAGAUUUGACAAUCUUUUCCUCUUAACUACAAAUAGAGAACUAAAUGCUUGUUUAAUUUGCAUUCAUCAUAAUUUCUACCUUUUCUACAGGAGUACAGAAUCUCUGUGUAGUCAAUUAAAACAGUAUCAUGCUAACAAAUCUAUCCCUUUGGGUAGCUCUCCAGUUGAGAUUGUGUCUCUAUUAACUAAGCACUAAAUUACUCCUGGAAAGUCAAAUAUAUGUUUCAGUAAGAUGAAAGCAUAUGUAUAUCGGGAGAUAUAUUUCUUUCAGAUUUUAGCUAUGGCUUCAGAACUUUUCUCCCUGCUCCUCAGAGCCACGCUUGGCACCAUGCCCAUCACUUGCUGUGCUUUUCACUACAGGAAAUCCUGACUUUCAGCAUCUCAAACAUUGGUCUAUUAAAAGGAUUCUUUAGUAGAGAGACUUUGGAAUUAUACAGCCUAGGACUGGAUUAUUCUCAUUGUGCUAGGAGCUCCUUAUGAGACUUUUGGACACCUUUGUCAUCCGGGUUAUAAGCAGUACCAGUUUUGCAUUUAUUAUUUUACUCAGUAUGUUUUAUUCUAUGCUGUUGGCUCAAGAUUUAGGUAGCACAUGCUUCGGAAGGCAGGUUGGACUUCUUUUCCAGGAAAUUGCUGGUUUGCUUUUCUUUGACUUUUUCCAACAGGUGUAGUCUGCACACUGAAGUCACACAGGUCUCUAACACUAUGUCACCGAGGAAUUGGCUGAUAUGCUCUGAGAAAAGCAUAUUAUAAUAUUGCCUCUGAUAUGCAACAUGAGUGGGAGCCCUGCUGAGGCAGGAGGGUUUGACUGACCUUUAUUCCUUCAGGCUGAAGGGUCAGAUCCGCAGGAUUCUCUUGUUAUAUUUUUGAACUUCUGUUAUUGGUUUUAUACUCGAAGUGGGGGAGGAUGCAAAAAAUGUGAAUUAUUGAGAGGGUUUGCAAUGUUUUUCUGAGGAACUGAAAACUAUUUUAGGAAUGCUAAGGAAGUAAUGAUAUUGUAUGUGGCAAAUGGGCCAUUCUCUUUUGUUGAAUGUGUUGGCUGAAGGCCUGUUAGAUGUGAAUGAGAGAGGCUAAGGCUUGUAGAUAGGGAUGUGUAUUAUUCUAGAUUGAGGUGAUAAUUCUUUCAACUGCUAAGCAUUUUUCACAUUAUUAGAGAUGUCCAAUGUUACUGAACUGCAGUGAAUUAUACUAAGAAUUUUAUAAACUCUGUCAAGUGAGAAUAUAUGUUAUAGCAUACGAUGUUUUCAGGUAGUGUUUCAGAUGAGUCUCUAAAGUAACAUCCUAUUGUUCAGAAAGUCAUCAAAAUCAGGGCCCUCGUGAUCGUUAUCAGCAAAUUAUUUGCAUUUCUUUUACUGAAGAAUCAGAGGAGGGAAGAAAAGGCAGAGAGAAGGAAAGAAAAAAAGCAGAGCUGCUUGGCAAAGGUUCUAAAACAAAGACGCAAGUGUAUUUAUGGUUAUAAUUUUGCACAGAUCAGUAGGUGCUCUAACACCAUGCUGCUGAUCACAACAUAAAUCACACUUUAAUUUUAACCUUUGCAAUUCAUCAAUAGUUUCCAUAUCAAAAAUAAUUCAGCACUGACACUAUUGGUUUACAGGUAAGUGGAACAAGAAUGGAGGAGACUUAGUAAUGGAUUAGUUGGCCUGUCAACAGAGACAGAAAGAUUCAUGUUGUCUUCUCUAUGUUUCUAUCACAUGCACAGAGCUAUAAAUAACAGUAACAGCUAAUCAGAUGCAGGAAAGAUAUAUGCUCUUACUGGAAACCAGGUUUUUGUACUGAGUUUUAAAAGUUUAGCCAGUGAGAGCGAGUCCAUUUUCAAAGAAGAGCAUUUGGCUACUUUUUGUGUGUAUGUGUGUAUCCAUAUCUAUUUAAAGUACUUGCAGUAGUAUAGUUUGCUUUUUUUUUCCUGCUGCGUGUGAAAAUACAUGAUUGUUUGCCUAGCUGUUGUGUUUCUUAGUCUAAACUUCUUCACUCUAACAAUGGAAUUUAGAACUACUUUCAACUAUGUCUGUUUCAAUUUUAAAGCAGACCCAGAAUUGUGCUCUCCAUUCUGAACCCAGCAAUUCAAUGGGAUGAACAGGCAACUAAAUGGUGGUUAAAACCAGUGGUUAAAACCACCACUAUGGUGGUGGCGUUAGUGAUAGAGCAGGUUCCUGCAAAAGCUGAUGGAUCUCUGCCCUUGUGGAUUCUCAAAAUGUUACUGGAUGUGACCAUGAAUAACCUGUUUGAGUGAGAGUGUGGAGCAGAUUAUGUCUAGAAGUUCUGAAUCAUUCUAUGAUUCUAUACUGAGACCUAUAACUCCUGGUAUUUCAAAUUAUUUCCUACCUUUUUUUCCUCUUCUUUUAUCCUAAACCUGGCUAAGAUUCCAUUAGAUUACAUCUAUCAGAGGCACAAAUGUCCUUGAAUGCUCUGCUUGAGAUGAAAAGCCCUUAAUGGGCUUCUACGGGUUUUAUUCUUCCUUGUGCUUUUUCGUUCUGUUGACUGAAUAUUUCCUGUCAUGCUGAAUCACUAUAUGAAAUUAUUAAAUCAAUGUUGAUAAUAGUAUUAAUUUCCCAUAUGCUAAACUUUAUAACCAGAAUAUUGGCAUGUACAUUCUAUUAAGUUUACAAUUUGUGGUACCGUGUCAAUAUGCUGGAAUGAAAAACACAGUGACAAAUCACUUCUAUGUUAAUACAACUGUGAGCAAGUCUACUUCUGUCUCCUACAUCCUCCCAGUCUUUAUAAUGGUUACUGAGUAAAUGCUAAAAUUGCUUAUUAGCACAAUGACACAUCCUUCAGAAGAGAUAAGGGUAUUUAAGACAAAUAGACAUGAUUGGAAAUGAGAUCACAAGAUACUUGGCUGCAUUUAUGAGAUUGCAGAAUGUUAGCACAAUGACAUGAAUGUGAGGUAGAAUUUUCCUUCAACCAAAGUGAUGCAUUCACCCAAAACACUUUUCCCUUUUCGUGUUUCAUAUUGAUUGCGAGUUACCUCCAUGGAAGGUCUGAUAAAGAAUUUCCCUAUAAGACUGUCCUAAACUCUAGGAGGAUAAAUGGUUUUGUUUUGCCUUGCUUUGUUUUAUACUUAGUUCUCUGUAAGUAUCGCAAAAAAAUAAAAUCAAGGAAUACAAAAUGUACAGCAAUGGUGGAUAGAAUGAUGCUCUAGCCAUAGUGCUCUCCCAUAUAUUCAAUAUACCCUAUAACUGCCUGCUGACAUCUGAAGGAGAUGUGAAAUUAUGUGUACAGUUCACAAUCUUUGUGAAAAAGAAAUGGCAAAUCGGACAGAGUGCUCGGGCAUGUAGAGGCUGCUCAUUCCUUGUCUUUAUAGCCGACAGAUCUAACUGAAGAGGACUUUCAGAAAGGUCCUGAACUUUGUUUUUUCACAAAUUACUGCCUUCUUGAAACCUGGCCAAAAUCAGUAGUAGAGAAAGGAGGAGUGUGUUUUAUUAUUUCUUUGGAGAAACACUGCAUAUUCACCUCUCCACACAGUAAUUGUACAUCACUUUUCUCCAACAUGUUUUAGAAAAAAAGGGCAUUCGAGAGUAAGAGGAAGAACAUAAUGUUUCAACAAGAUUAGUCUCAAGCUAGCUGAUUAUGUUAGGGGAAGAGCUUACUUUAGGUUCAGAAAAGCAGUGAGGCAGGUAUAUGAGAGCUGGACCAUGGAAAUUUGAGUUCACAGUUUCCUGCAGUAUUUGAUGUGGGUGGUAUAGACUGUAGGAAAUCAAGGACAGUCUAAACCAUAUCACAUAUCUAGGUAUCACAGUGCCUAACGUGAUAGAUCUUGGCUAGGAUCUACAGGUACAGUGCAGGUAAUAAUACAGCUCACUACCAGAAUUCCUAAUUUACGGUACUCUUUUAUGUAAAAGGAGGCAAAAAAUAACCCCAGAGCACGUUUUGGGUGUUGAUGAAUUACUAUAGGUACUGCAGUGCAAGAAAUCCGCAGAGCUGGAACAGCUGUUUGUUCUGAAGUGUGUUGGGUUUUUUGUUGCUUUUGUUUGUUCUUCAAAUCUUCACUAAAAAAAGGGGGGAAAUGCUGAUUCUUCUGGAAUGACUCCAGUGCUUGCCACUUCAUAUUGUUCAGUAGCAAGAUUACCAAAUCCUACAGUUCUUGCCUUUAAAAAAGUCGCUGAAAUCAUCUCCGCUCCAAAAGACCAGACCAUAAAUACCAAUGAGCUAGAUAAAGUCAAUGCAUCAUUUCCUGUCAUGUCCUAUAGCAUUUGCAGGUUUGCCUGGAAACAGUUUAGAUGGCAAUUUCAGGCUCGUAGUGCUAAAGCAGGAGUGUGGAUCUUGUCAAGACCCUGGAAAGAAGGAAGAAGUUGCUGAAAGUACAAGAUGGUUUAUAUUGAUCUUGUCUUGGUUCUGUUAUUUCUCUUCAACAUGUAGUUUUUUAACUGUUUCUCUUUGUUCACUGAGUCGCUAUUGCUAUCUGAAAAGGUAAUAUUUUCUUCUUGAGAUCCAUCAAGAGCAUAGCAUUAACUUUUUUCUUUCCUAGCCAUGGGUCAAUUUUACCAUUUACUGCUCUGUCACGGUGCUUCUCUCCAUAGGCACUACUGUAAAGGAGGCUUGAUCUUGCCUUUUAUUUGGGUAAUUCUCAUCACGUCUGAUGGUCCACCAGUUAGCAGUUCUAUCCAGAAGCCUACAGAUUCUGAGCCGUAUCUCCUCUGGCCCCACUGAUGGCAGGUAACUGGUGUUAUUAAGACAAGCAAAUCAUAUAUUUGGUUCCUUUAUGAUGAUCAAUGAUAUCCCUGCAUGGUCUCCCAGCAGCCUGGAAAGCAGCAGCAAGAAUGGGAGCAAACUAUGGUACAUGUACGAUCUCUGGCAUGCACUGAAAUUCAGCAGAAUGGGGCUGUUUUGGAGGAAAGUGAGGGAGCACUGCAGCCCCUGGGCCUGUGUGCCAGCUGUGCUCAGCAAGGAGAUCACUCUGAACACCAAAUGGUAUCUCCUAAACAGUGACAGCAGAUGUUAACCUAUGAUAAGGAAAGGAUCGAGACAUUAUUCUUUAGCAUGUUUUAUUACUGACUGUUGUAGAAAGGAUAUUGUGUUAACGCAGUGGGAAAAUCUGCUUCCAUGUUCCUGUGUGUUAUCAGCUAUCACUGCCCUUGCUUGUAAAACAUUAAAUCACUUGUGAAAGGUGGGAGAUUAAUAAGAGGUGUUUUAGCCUCCUCUUCAUUUCUUGAAGCACAAGCAGCAUGAUGUGUAAGGGUGACUAAAAGCAGGAAAUGAGCUGUUUGCUACAUCUAUCACUCCCUGAAAGGAAGCUUCAGUAGAGUCAAUGAUGGUUCAGACCCUGACACAUUCAAAUAAGUCACAUGCCACAUGUACAUCGGCCUGUCUUUAGAAAUUAGCUUCUAACUUGUGCCAGCUCCAGUGAUUUUAAUGAGUUCACACUGGAAAUCACCCCAAAGCCCAUUGGCAGCAGCAAUGCAGCGUGGUCCCCAGCAAUGUGCCAGCAGCCCAUGCUGCCCUGCAUGUGCUGGUGUGCUAUAAGAGCCCACACGGGGUACUAAUGCAAUCUCUUUCACUGUUUACUCUGUGCCAUGCAUUUUGUUGGAUCUUGAAUGAACACAUUUAUGUUCAAAGCUCUCCUUGGGCUAAGGAAGAAUGGAUUUUAAACUCCUGCAAGUGGCAAGUUUCUUGUGUUCUAUUUAUGAGGUUUCUGGCUGCUCCAAACCUGCUGAUGCAAUCCUGCCCAUUGCUCUACACUCUUGUGUUGUGCAUCUUUAAUUUCACUUACAGCAGUUUUGGUGCAGAUGCUCAUGAAGGUGAGGGGACACUUCAUGCAAUCAGUAUGAUCAGUGCAGAGCUCCAGAUCUGAGAAGGAACUCUUAAAACCUGUUGGAAGUUAUGCAGGAUCCCUCUGUCCUUUUAGUUUGCAGGAGGUUUCAGCAAUGUUGCCAGCUCUCGCCUGUUUCAGUACCCAUCGUUGCAGUGGUACUGUGUAUGUCCUAGGACUGAUGCUUCUACAAAGCUCUGCAACAGCAGUGGAACUUAUGUCUUAUUUCAGGAGAAGGUGGCUCUUUAGCAGUCCUUUUAUCACCAACUGUUGUCAUAGCAGGAAGCCUUUUUCAGGCUCUUUAAAGGUAGUAAGGCUUUUUCUCUGCCUCUCUCUGUCUGCCAGCCACCUUCAGUGUUCUGUCUUCCCACAGGUCCUUCCAUGCCAGGCAAUCACUGCCAUUAAGACAAAGUACUCUCUUUCAGGGGACAGCAGCAUGGAAAAAGGAAAAAAAAAAAAAAAAAAAAAAAGAGAAGAAGAAAAAGAAAUGAAGAAAAGAACAGACUAUUUCUUUGCAAAGGGCAGCUGUCUUUUACAAAGGAUAAAAAAUGUUGCCAGAUGUGCUUAGCAACGUUAUUAAUCAAUCUGUGGAGACGUCUUUCUUCGUCUUUCUCUUUGUGGGAAGAAUCUUUAGAAGGAAACAAAGCAAGGCAGAGGAAGAAAUACAAACGUCUGCAACCACAGACAGGGAGUUACUUCUCUUUAAGUCAGUCCUCCUGAUUUCAGUGGAAACUUUUAGAGAGAAGUUAUGCUUUCUGUUUAAGUUCAUAACAAAUGUAGGCUUUGAGUGUUUACAGGUUUGGCUGUUUAACGACAGUCUCCUAUUUUUUUGAGGGGUGGUUCCACAUAGCAUCGGGAUAACAGUAAUCACAUUUAAGUGGCUGUUUGCUUCUGACCACAUCCUCCAUUGAAGAUCAUCUCUGCCAUUAAAAGUUUCUACAAAUGCCACUGUUUUCAAUGAAAAAAAUGGGUAUCAAAUCCAAGAGUUUAUUCUUUGCUGAGAACUACUUAGUUUUUGAGAACUGUAGAGAAGUGCAUAUCAACAUAUCAAAGUAUUUUACAAACUUUGUAAAGUAAGGAGCUAACAUUUUACUGACGAUUGUUUUAGGCACACACUCAGUUUGAGUCUCUCACCUGUAUUCCCAAGGCAAAGACUGCUUUUCCUCUCCUGUGUGGUUGUUGUUUGGUCCUAUGCACGUGUCCUCCGAAGGCGUAUCCCUGAUGCUUUUCGGUGUGAACAGAAAAUGCUCUCGCCAGCAUGGAUGGGAUUUUCUAGUUUCUUUGUCCAGUGUUAAUGAUCACUCCCACUGCUGAGAGAGAAUAAUGGAGGGUGGAAGAAUCUUUCUGCAUCUAUAAAACAGAAAUGUAAAUAUUCAAAGAAAGAAAGAAGUGUUUGUGCACAGAACAGAGUGUUAAUUUCUACUAGAGCCUUUAUUGAACUGUCCCUGCGAUGCCAGUAAAACAAACUAAAAAUGUUCUGUUUUCUAUUUUAUUUUCAUGUUGUUUAAAAAUGUUACCAAUAUCCUCGAGGACUCUGUUCCUGGGUUGUGGUUUCUGUGACUGUAUCACACUUGGAAGUGAGGCUGACGGUCAAUAACUCUAUGGGAAGGGACUCAUUAACAUCAUUAACAUCGAGGACAGUGAUUAAUAAAUGCAAUAUCUGAACACA